CUUGAGCUUCCUUUUGCAUGCAUCAAGAAUGCAACAGAAGUCCUUAUCAUUUUUAUUUAAUUCAUUUUACAUUUGAGGUUCUAAGAAGUUGGGCUAGCAAUUAAAACUAUUUUUGUGGCCUAAAUGUAAAAUGGUAAAGUAUUCAAUAUUCACCACACCAUGAAUAUUUGCCUAAAGAAUUAAUCUGAUGGAUUACUGAUUACAUGCAAGCAACAAGAAGCUCAAGAAAGAACAAAUAUGAAGACUCAAGAAACUUGGAAUUAUGGUCUAAAUUUCAUCCAGGGAUUUGGGACAUUCUAAGCACUAUAAAGUCCUACAAGUUUGUCCAUUUCAAUAAAUUAGCAGUUGGUUCAGUAUUUUGUAUCUAUUAUCUCUAAUUUUUGGGAGCCAAUUAAAUUAUUUCUUUAUAUUGUAAUAUCAAAUUAUCAUAACUGUAUUUAUAGGGAGACAGUACUUAUAGUGUUUGAAGAGAGAGAGAGGAGAGGAGAAAAGAGAAUUUGGAGGUGCAUGUCUACAUGCAAUGGAAAUUAUUACCUAGACCCGGUUCAUCUUGGAUCCAAGACACAAAUAUGUAAAACCCAUGGAAG
rnacentral:misc_RNA from 1 species